AACUAAGUUUGUUAUUGGUAUGAGCUUUCGUGUGCAUGCACACUUCAGAUAUCUUCUUUUGGUAUCUGAAGAAGUGUGCAUGCACACGAAAGCUCAUACCGAUAACUAACGUAGUUGG